UACGUAGGGUGCGAGCGUUAAUCGGAAUUACUGGGCGUAAAGCGUGCGCAGGCGGUUUCGUAAGACAGAUGUGAAAUCCCCGGGCUUAACCUGGGAACUGCGUUUGUGACUGCGAGACUUGAGUGUGGCAGAGGGGGGUGGAAUUCCACGUGUAGCAGUGAAAUGCGUAGAGAUGUGGAGGAACACCGAUGGCGAAGGCAGCCCCCUGGGUUAACACUGACGCUCAUGCACGAAAGCGUGGGUAGCAAACAGG
rnacentral:rRNA from 1 species